rnacentral:tRNA from 1 species
CGGGCCGUAGUGUAACGGCAGCACGAGUCAAUGGGGUUGAUUUAGUUCGGGUUCGAAUCCCGGCGGCCCGA